UACAGAGGGUGCAAGCGUUAAUCGGAAUUACUGGGCGUAAAGCGCACGUAGGCGGUUAGUCAAGUUGGAUGUGAAAGCCCCGGGCUCAACCUGGGAAUUGCAUUCAAAACUGGCUAACUAGAGUAUGUGAGAGGGGGGUAGAAUUCCAAGUGUAGCGGUGAAAUGCGUAGAGAUUUGGAGGAAUACCAGUGGCGAAGGCGGCCCCCUGGCACAAUACUGACGCUGAGGUGCGAAAGCGUGGGGAGCAAACAGG
rnacentral:rRNA from 1 species